UACGUAGGUGGCGAGCGUUGUCCGGAUUUAUUGGGUUUAAAGGGUGCGUAGGCGGCCCUAUAAGUCAGUGGUGAAAUAUCGCAGCUUAACUGUGAGGGUGCCCAUUGAUACUGUAGGGCUUGAGUGAAUUUGAGGUAGGCGGAAUUGACGGUGUAGCGGUGAAAUGCUUAGAUAUCGUCAAGAACACCCGAUAGUGAAGACAGCUUACCAAGCUUCAACUGACGCUGAGGCACGAAAGUGUGGGGAUCAAACAGG
rnacentral:rRNA from 1 species